rnacentral:rRNA from 1 species
UACGAAGGGGGCUAGCGUUGCUCGGAAUGACUGGGCGUAAAGGGCGCGUAGGCGGCUAUUUUUGUCAGGCGUGAAAGUCCUGGGCUCAACCUGGGGACGGCGCUUGGGACGGGAUAGCUUGAGUGGGGAAGAGGGUCGUGGAAUUCCCAGUGUAGAGGUGAAAUUCGUAGAUAUUGGGAAGAACACCGGUGGCGAAGGCGGCGACCUGGUCCUUUACUGACGCUGAGGCGCGAGAGCGUGGGGAG